UACGUAGGGUGCAAGCGUUGUCCGGAAUUAUUGGGCGUAAAGAGCUCGUAGGCGGUUUGUCGCGUCUGCUGUGAAAACUCGGGGCUUAACCCCGGGCGUGCAGUGGAUACGGGCAGGCUGGAGGCAGGCAGGGGAGAACGGAAUUCCCGGUGUAGCGGUGAAAUGCGCAGAUAUCGGGAGGAACACCGGUGGCGAAGGCGGUUCUCUGGGCCUGUACUGACGCUGAGGAGCGAAAGCGUGGGGAGCGAACAGG
rnacentral:rRNA from 1 species